rnacentral:tRNA from 1 species
GCAAUAGUAGCUCAGAGCAAAGAGCACCAGCCUUGUAAGCUGGAGGCCGGGGACUGAUAACCCCCUACUGCC